GAUGAACGCUGGCGGCGUGCUUAACACAUGCAAGUCGAACGGAAAGGCCCAAGCUUGCUUGGGUCCUCGAGUGGCGAACGGGUGAGUAACACGUGGGUGAUCUGCCCUGCACUUCGGGAUAAGCCUGGGAAACUGGGUCUAAUACCGGAUAGGACGAUGGUUUGGAUGCCAUUGUGGAAAGUUUUUUCGGUGUGGGAUGAGCUCGCGGCCUAUCAGCUUGUUGGUGGGGUAAUGGCCUACCAAGGCGUCGACGGGUAGCCGGCCUGAGAGGGUGUACGGCCACAUUGGGACUGAGAUACGGCCCAGACUCCUACGGGAGGCAGCAGUGGGGAAUAUUGCACAAUGGGCGCAAGCCUGAUGCAGCGACGCCGCGUGGGGGAUGACGGCCUUCGGGUUGGAAACUCCUUUCGCUAGGGACGAAGCGUUUUGUGACGGUACCUGGAGAAGAAGCACCGGCUAACUACGUG
rnacentral:rRNA from 1 species